AGGCAGCAGUGGGGAAUAUUGCACAAUGGGCGAAAGCCUGAUGCAGCGACGCCGCGUGAGGGAUGACGGCCUUCGGGUUGUAAACCUCUUUCAGCAGGGACGAAGCGCAAGUGACGGUACCUGCAGAAGAAGCACCGGCUAACUACGUGCCAGCAGCCGCGGUAAUACGUAGGGUGCGAGCGUUGUCCGGAAUUAUUGGGCGUAAAGAGCUCGUAGGCGGUUUGUUGCGUCGGCCGUGAAAACCUGGGGCUUAACCCUGGGCCUGCGGUCGAUACGGGCAGACUUGAGUUCGGUAGGGGAGACUGGAAUUCCUGGUGUAGCGGUGAAAUGCGCAGAUAUCAGGAGGAACACCGGUGGCGAAGGCGGGUCUCUGGGCCGAUACUGACGCUGAGGAGCGAAAGCGUGGGGAGCGAACAGGAUUAGAUACCCUGGUAGUCCACGCCGUAAACGUUGGGCGCUAGGUGUGGGGAACAUUCCACGUUCUCCGUGCCGUAGCUAACGCAUUAAGCGCCCCGCCUGGGGAGUACGGCCGCAAGGCUAAAACUCAAAGGAAUUGACGG
rnacentral:rRNA from 1 species